rnacentral:rRNA from 1 species
GUUGCGAACGGGUGAGUAACGCGUAGGUAACCUGCCUCUUAGCGGGGGAUAACUAUUGGAAACGAUAGCUAAUACCGCAUAAAAGUCGAUAUCGCAUGAUAUUGAUUUGAAAGGUGCAAUUGCAUCACUAAGAGAUGGACCUGCGUUGUAUUAGCUAGUUGGUGAGGUAACGGCUCACCAAGGCGACGAUACAUAGCCGACCUGAGAGGGUGAUCGGCCACACUGGGACUGAGACACGGCCCGGACUCCUACGGGAGGCAGCAGUAGGGAAUCUUCGGCAAUGGGGGCAACCCUGACCGAGCAACGCCGCGUGAGUGAAGAAGGUUUUCGGAUCGUAAAGCUCUGUUGUAAGAGAAGAACGAGUGUGAGAGUGGAAAGUUCACACUGUGACGGUAACUUACCAGAAAGGGACGGCUAACUACGUGCCAGCAGCCGCGGUAAUACGUAGGUCCCGAGCGUUAUCCGGAUUUAUUGGGCGUAAAGCGAGCGCAGGCGGUUAGAUAAGUCUGAAGUUAAAGGCCGUGGCUUAACCAUAGUACGCUUUGGAAACUGUUUAACCUGAGUGCAGAAGGGGAGAGUGGAAUUCCAUGUGUAGCGGUGAAAUGCGUAGAUAUAUGGAGGAACAC